GUGCACAUGCCAAAAUGAAAACGUAUCAUGGGAAAGCAUUUCUCAUUGAAGCCUGAAUCUCCUCCCUAAUGUUUAUUCUAUGUCAUGGAGAACACUAAGGGCUAAAAUACACUCUGGGUUAAAAACACUGGCAUAAGUUCUUGCAACACAAGUCUGGCAGAGAUUCAGGACGUGACAGCUGAAGGAGGCUGCAGUCUCCCUCGCACCAACAAACUAGCUGGUGGCUGAUGACGGUGAGCGAGGAAAAGGGAUGAUGAAGAGAAACCUGAAGCAUGCCACAGCAGUCUGCUCCCUUCUGCAGCUGCUGCCUUCUGUCCUGGAUCCCUGCAGUGUCAGCGUGUGUCCCAGCUCCUGGUGUUGUAAGAGCAGUUGUUCAAGAAGGACAUUUGAGGAGGAGGACAAAGAGGAAAGGAGUUCACAGCUCACUUGGAAAGAACAUACUUUCCCUGAACUCUAGGAAGAUUAUGAAACAAUGUGCUGGAUGUCUCUGGGUGGAGAUAAAGGAAGAGAGAAAUCAAACAAAAUCAGAAGCAGUCUCACAGUAGAAUCUAUUGUACAUCAACUAAUGAAAAAAGGAGACCAAGGAAAGAUCUUUUGAAAAAUAAAGGAACUGCUAAAAGAAUGAUUGCUGGUGAAGCUGAAGGAAAAUGAUAUGCCAAGAUCGAGGACAUCUUGAAUUUUGUUGUGAUAAGAAAGAGAAAAAUAAGGAAAGGAGGAUGUAGUUUAAAAUAUUGACUGUUUCACCUUGUAGCCCUUAAGAUUUUGGGAAACUUUCUGCUACUUUGAAGGUGUUAUCUUUUCCUCUCUUAGACCGAUACCAAAUUCUGAAUGAACUGGUUACUACGGGCAUUUUUAUUUUGUGAAACACUUCAUUCAUUUCACACAAGUAACAUGACUGCAGAUUGACCUUCUCGAUGCAGGUGUGCUGUAUGGUUUCGGGGAGGGAAUGAUGUUUGUCCUUACUUAUGGAGGAGCAGCAACCGAGCCCUGGUCAGAACUGAGUGGUCCUGAUAAGCAGCAUGUACCAGUAUAGGCACAAGUACCUAUGAAUUUAUUGCUGCAUUUCACCUUGAAUAUCUAUGAAAUGCAUGAGACUUCAUUUUUUCAACUUAAAAAUCACUUUAUGGAUCUUGUAUGAUGCUCACAGCAUCCCCAUUCAGCAAGAGAAUCAUUCCUGCUCUCAAGAGCAUGAAACAGGGACACAGAGUUCAAUAAUUAAUAUCUAGAAAAUUCUGAUAAGACUUGAAGGCAAGACUCCCUUUGUUCACUGGAGAAAUUAGGUGGAAAAUCAAUGCUCAUGCUGUCUCUGCACUACUCUACUUGGCCACUUAGGGGAUGUUGGUGUGGCUCUGGUGAAUGCACUUCACAUGUUGCUGAAAAGGUGCAUGAGGAAAUGAUCAGAUAGGGUAGGAUGUGGUUAAAGCCUCAGUUUGCAAACUGGAGCUAAUGUCGGAGAAGUGUAUUAUGUCUUGCAUCCACUAAAAGCCUCCAACAAUAUCCUCCCAGUAAGAUGGAGGAGCAGCAGAGAAGGAAUUGUGACUUCCCAAGUCCCAGCAGCUCCUGAAGUUGCUCCUGUUGAUAUUCAGUUACAUGCAGCCCCGGACGUAGAGCACUGCACUAUGGCUUGCUCCAGCCCUGAGGUUCAGCUGUAACCAAAGCAGCUGCAGGAGGCAGGGCCACAGCGAGACACAACCCCAAACCAGGGUUGUCAUUAGACCUCCAGCCACCUGCGUGGAACCAGCAAAGAGGAGGAAGCAUGCUACCAGCCCCUUUCCUUCUUCAUCUCGCCUAUCCAGGCUGUGCAGGAUUGGGCAAGAGAUCAGGCAGGAGCUAGCUGGUGGUACUGUGAGCUGUGGGAAGGGUCAUUGGGGUUUUUCUCCCUGUUGUUCAGCCUGGACAUGCUGAUUGACCAAAUAAUUCUCUAUACGUUCUUCCUUUCCAUCUCAUACCACGCAGCUCUGCUAUGGCUUUUCCUUCACCUCACCUCCAGCCUCAAGCAUUUCCCACCCCUGUUGACCCAUGCACCCCUUCCGCUUCCAAAUCAUGGUAUUAACUUGACAUUUGCAAAAGGUCAUGUUUGCUCCGCCUGAGAGUUAUAUUCCUCACUCUUCUGUCUUUUUGCUAUGUAAGCCCUUCAAGGCAGAGAUUAUCUCCAUGGGUGUGGCUAUAGACUGUCCAGGAAAAUGUCCCUGAUCUUGUUUGGUGGUCUAGCAGCUGCUAUAGAUACAAUAAACUUACUUCCUGGUAGAGAAGCUGCUUCCAUAGACUAAAAUUUUAUAGAGAAUCAUAGAAUCAUUAAGGUUGGAAAAGACCUCUAAGUUCAUCUAGUCCAACCAUCCACCUACCACCAAUAUUGCCCACUAAACCGUGUCCCUAAGUACAACAAGUAUUAUGGAUUACAGAUUAAUCAUCAGAGGUUAAGGAAUCUUAACUUAUACACAAGUCUUCCUUUCAGAAGAGGUUCAUAUGCAGCACCUCCUGGCAGAACCACCAGUGCCUUCAUUUUAAAGAGCACCAACACCAGGUUACUGCAAGCGUCCAUUCAGAUAGUGUGGUAUUGCUGGAGCAGAUGCCAUUUGUGUCUGUAGCAGGAACAAAUGGGAAGUAAGGCAGGUGGCACGCGACACAUAUUUGUACAUCUAUUUUAUGCAUAUAAAGGCACAUCUUUUUUUAGCUUGUAGUUUCAGUCGCGCUGAAAUUGUUUGCUGCAUCAAAUUAACUGCAUUUGAGAACCAACGCUGUGCUCAACGUUAGUAUGGCCGUCCUGCAGUAGGUCCAAGCAAGGUGGUAGAGAAAGGCCUUACAAAUUAAUUCAGGUAAGAAUGGGUCUAAGCCUGCCCCCUAGUCCUGCUCAUCAUCCUGCAUUUGCCCCCAGCACAGGGCUCUCCCAAGCCAUCAUCUCAGCUAAGCAAUCUGCAGGGCUCCAACCUAGGAAGAAGCUCAGCACCAUUCCUAUUGUCCGUGAGGACGUACCACGCUUGGCUCUAUUGAAGCCUAAACCAGCACCGAGCGUCACCGACAGGGCAGCAUAUGGCAGAGCUGUGGCUCAGUGUAGAUACAAUUAGUCUAUAUAAAUUAAUUGGCAGGGAUGCACAGGUUGCAUGGCCAGAAGGCUGCUGCCAGCCCAGAUGUGCUAUGGUUAAGCUCUGCUUUGGUUUCUGGGUCUUGCCCUCCUACCCAAGUACUGAUUUUUAUGCAACCUCCAAGAACAGAACUGUCUUUGAAUUAGCUGCUCUCUCUCAAGUUUAUAUGAUACUAGGAGAGGGGUUUGGACAAGCCUGCAAACAGAAAAAGAUCAUGGCAGAACCCUUAUUUCCUUAGGGAAGCAGCUCAAAGGAAUACGUGCAUCUAUUCUCAACUGUUGCUGCGCUCACGACCCACACAAAUAACAGGGAAAAGUGAACAAGCAGCCGACUGCAGAAUGGGAACAGGGAAAAUGACUCAGCAAGCUUGGCACCAAGCUGGAGGAAAUGCAGGUACAUUAUAACCUUGCUUAAGCAUCCAUCUCGUUUGUGACACGAUGUAGAAACAGCAGCUAGUGCGGGUAUUUGCAUCUGAUGGAAACAUCCCUUCUGAUAAAUGAUUCAGCUCUGCUCUUACAAACAGUUAUAUAUGGGAGCAGAGCAGGUGAGAGGCUCCAUUUGUAUUUGCCAGUACGGGAGAGAAAAAAUUCAAUGAAAACCUCUCGUUGCUUUUUAAAUAUCUUUUUUUUUCCCUCUGUUAUCAGUUGACAAAUAGCUGCUGAAUUAUAGUUUCAUGCUUUGUUCAUGUCAUUUUUCCUAAGAUCAGUAUUUCCUGCUACAUCACCUUAGAAACUUGAUCAACAAACACUGUGCUCUUCAUGUAAACAGAGCUUUAUUUUACUCUUUUUUUUGACAGCAGCCAGUGUUUUAGAAACCAGAACAUUUCAGGUUCCCUGGGCUAUUUGCCUCAAUUUCACAAUUUGGUUUUGGUUUUGAGGGCCUGUCAGCAUUGUUUACACAUGGAUAUGUGUGAGCAGCAAUGUUUUCAUGCAAGCGGCAAAGAAAAUACAUUACUGCAAAUUGCUUUUCGGAAUCAGACCUUCCCUUCUAUUGAGUAUCUAAAUGAAACGGCACUUUCUAACACAUAGGAACUAAAGACUAAAACAAAUCAGAACGAGAAGUGAAACGAGAAGAUCUAGUUUCAGUGGCUGAGAUGAACGAGAAAGAGGCAAAGACAAUAUUCACAAGUAGGAAGGAACAUCUCCGGAGCUCUAUCUCUAAUACAACCCAGAGGUUUUUAUCUGUACUGAAGGAAUGGAGGAACUCUGCAGGGCCCUGAAUGUAUUUCCCCAGGGAAUGGCAUCGACUCCGGUCCUGCCAGUGCUUUGCCUGUGCUGGUGCCCCACGCUAAGGUGAUUUUUUUUGUGUGUUUUUGUGGAAAACCAGGGCUGCAGUUCUACGAAACAAGCCCUGUGGAUCUGAACAAGAAAAGUUUUCUUGUUUUCACUGUAAGAACAUUUCCCAGGCAGCUGCGGUGAAAACACUUACAAAUGAAUCCAGCAGUAAACGGGGAGAUUAUUUUUGCUAGUUUUAACAAAACUGCGCAGAACGACCGGCUACUGAGCCUCCUGGGAUCUGCCACAACACAGAGACAGACUCCAUCAGCUAGGGAUUACUUUUAAGGCAGAUAUUAAAGCCUAUCACAUGAUGACGGAUUUUCCUAUAUGUUCACUUCAAUGGGACGCUUUAAAUCCCACGUGCACACGUGUGUACGCACGUGUACGUGCACACUAGUGUUUAUUCAAACCUUUUUCAUUCACAGCCAGACGCAGCCCUAGGCUCCUCCGGGCCUUUCCAGGGAAGAUGGACUUGGGAGAAAGAGAGAGAAUGAUACUUAAACCUCACAUUUUUGAAAAUAAGUUUUUAAAGCAAAUAAGAUCGGGUGGGCAGAGCCAAGCUUGUAAAGAUUUUAUAAGAAGCAAUGCUUCUAAGAGGAGGCAGAAUCCUUGCUCUUUCUUAGUCCAAGACCUUGUUAUAAGAAUUUGGAGCAAACAUGGUGAAAAAGUGAGUUUUUAAAGAAAUGCAUCCUUUUGCUUUUCUGCUCAGCUGUAACCUAAAGCAUCUAGGCUCGACAAAAUGAAACACAGCCGCAUGACGAUGUGGCUGCUGCUGCUGCUCUGCCUCCUGCAAAUCUUCCCGUCGGAGCCUGGGAGGAGAGCGAUGCCUUCUCUGAGCCGAAAUCCUGCCGCCGGGUGAAGCUCAGCAUUGCAAAGCAGGGCUGGGCUCUGCAGCGAGGAGUUUGGUCGGAGGUGUCUGUCUGCAAGGGUUAGCAUGGCGAGGUAACUCUCUUCCCAUGACACAGCAGAACAGCAGCAGCAGCAGCAGCAGUGUAAGUGAUUGGUUCUGGCAGCGCUCCGAGGAGACUAAUUUAUAUCCCAGUUCCAGCCUCCUUCUCCUUUAAGAACAAUCCUGAGGAGGGAAUAUGGAAAAAAAAAAAGAAGCUUAGUGGGGUAGGCAGAUAAACAUCAAAGAAACGGAAAGGGAGGAAUACAGGAGCUAGAAUCCAUGGUGGUGGGACAGCCUGGAUAUUAUGGCAGAAGGAGUGAUAGAAAACACCCCAAAACUCAGUAGGGAAGGGCAGACGAGCAAGCACAAGUUGGAGGGUGGAUAUAGGGAAGCAUUAUUGGAACGGGCUGCCCGAGGAGGUGGUGGAGUCAUCACCCCUGGAGGUGUUCAUGAAGAGGGCAGAUGUGGCACUGAGGGACAUGGGUUAGUGGGCAUGGUGGGGAUGGGCUGAUGGUUGGACUAGAUGAUCUCAGUGGUCUUUUCCAACCUUGAUGACUCUAUGAUUCUAUGACUGAGCUCUCCAGGGAAGAGAAGGAAGGGAGCAUGAGCUAUGCUUCAUUUAGUUAACUCUUUUUUUGUUGUUGAAAUCAUUAACAGCUUCUACAAAAGUCCUGUUUACGUACUGAAAAAAAAUAAAUAAUCAAGUAUCCGAAACACCGAUCUGUUAAAUAUACAGCUUCUCGUGUGGGCACGCUGAAUGUAAUGGGGUCAAGCAAAAAUAUUCCAACUCCAAAAAUCCCAGCAGGAGAAUGGAAGGACCAGGACAGGGCCUAUCCGAGCAGCUCUGCUCCCAUACCAUGGCCGGGCCACCCUGUCUCAUGGAUGCUCGACAGCCAUUGGCGUCAAGCUGAGGUGGAAGAGGUGUUACAUAUGGCUCCCUUCAAGGGAACUCCAUGAGAUGUUGAAUAAAUGGGAUAAAUUGUAUUCCAGCCCUGUUCUCAGUGCUGUGGGUCACGCUUUGUAUUAUCGAGGGGCUGCGAUUUUCAGCAAAGGCUGUAAGGAGCGGAAUGUGGCAAUGCGUCCUCACUCAUUUUUUUAGAAUUAUAGAAUCUUAGAAUAUCCCGUCUUGGAAGGAACCCAUAAGGGAUCAUCAAGUCCAACUCCCGGCUCCACGCAGGACCACCCAAAAAUCAGACCAUAUGGCUGAGAGCGUUGUCCUGACACUAAUUGAACUCCAGCAGCUUGGUACCGUGACCAGUGCCCUGGGCAGCCCAUUUCAGUGCCCGACCAUCCUCUUGCAGGUAUUUUAAUUGCAAAAUGCAUAGCCCUCCAGCUAGCCCCCCGACCCUCACACUCAGCUGCAAAGACUGCCACAGCGUCAUGGAUUUGUGAGCCGAAUCUGGGGAACUCCUGAGGGAGCAGCGCAGCACCUUAUCCCCCGGACACCACGAGAGUCUCCCUGCGGGGCAAAGGACUGAAGAUGGGUCCGUGGAGCGGGUGGGCUUUAGCCCCAUCCCCACCACCCUUGGGGCAUCAGCUUGAGCCGAAGCCACUUCAGCACUGAAGGCAGAACAGCAGCCUCCGAAGCGCCGGCCGCCAGCGGGGCUCCACCGGGAGACCCCCGCCGCGUGCGUGGGAUCGGGUCUCCCCAAAGCGUGGAAAAUGUCAUCUUAUUGCCUUUUUCCUUACGUAGGGAGAGUCUGUUCGUGUGCAGGGAUUGCGCUAGGGUAGUGCCAGGCAUCACUCCUUGAAGCAUCUCUCACUACAAAAAUCUCUAACAUUACCCCGUGUUAGAAAGCUGAUGUUGUUACAGAUUAGCUCCUCACUAAAUAGUUUUUCCAUCAGCCGGCUGAGCUGCAGAUCUAAAAGCACGCUUGCAAGCAACGCACCAACUCUGUGCACCAGCACAGCAAUGGCACUGCUCGCAUCCUCUGCCUCCUCGCUGGCACAAACAAGUUUUUGCCACUUCAGCACCGGAGCCGCAGCCGAGCGGAGCCGCGCUGGAUCCCGCAGCCGCAGGGUGCAUCCGCGCUGCGCAAGGUGCCAGGCGGGCGGGAUGCUGAGAGCAAAGGGGGGAGUGGGGAGGGAUGAAAUAACUGGUAGUAAUAGCGAUGGGGGAAAAAUUAGUAGGGAUAAGGGGAAAAAUAGUAGUGAGAAAGGUAGGGGAAAAAAAUAGUAAUGAUAAGGUUAGGGGAAAAAAAAAGUAGUGAUAAGGGUAGGGAAAAAUAGUAAGGAUAGGGGAAAAAUAGUAAGGAUGAGGGGAAAGGAGUGAUAAGGAUAGGGGAAAGGGGGAAAUAGUGAUGAUAGGGAAAGGGGGGAAAAUAGUAGCGGUAAGGAUAGGUAAAGGGGGAAAAACAGCGACGAUGAGGGUAGGGAGAGGGAAGCGAGUUGCUGGGACUCGAGGAGCCCGCUCGGUGCGGGGAGCGCGGCCCCGGCAGCGUCGCGGCUGCGGGCGGUGGAGCCCCGAGGGCGGGGGAGGCCCGGGGGUGCCGUCGGGUCCGGCAUCGUCACGUGAAAGUCCCCUUUAAGUUUCCAUCGAGAGGCCUGCGGGUGUCACAUGAUGGACAUGAUAUAAUGAAACAACAUUGUGGGGAGGGAAGCAUUAGGGCAGCGCGGGGCAGAGGGAGCGCGGAGGGGGCACGCAGCUCACCCCGGCCCGCAGCCCUGCACCUGUCUGCGAGCUCCAUAGCGGGCGGAGGGGGAGCGGAGCGGAGGUUUUCACGGUCGUUCUGUUGCUGUAACCACCAUGGAUGUGAACGUUGUGGUGAGAACGGCUUGCUAUUUUCUCAUACUGGAUUCCUCAAAUCCAAGAGCUACUCAGCAGUUUCCAAGGCAACCACCUGUGGAAUAAUUAAAAAGGAUGGAGUGUUAGUGUGCCAGAUGCACGGAAUUCUUGCCUGGAGAGAGCACUUCGUUUUCAGCUGUCUUGAAGAAUCAAAUGUGAUUCUGCCAGCACAUUUAAGAGGAAGAAAUGAUGGCUGAGUUGUUGUACAAGCAACCAGGGACAAUCCAAAAAUUGGACAUCAGAUACUGGAACUGCCCUUCAAGUAGCUCAGCACUGAGGAAAGCAGUAAGUUCUGGAGCUCGUUCUUCUGUGAGUGUUUCCUUAAAAACGACUUGGGAUUUGGGAUCUGAGGUGCAUGAUCCUCAUUAAGUACCUUCAGAUAGGAAAUAAGCCUUCGCUCUUCCCUCAAGGUUUUUAGCAAAUGUAUUAGAUCUGUUCUUACCUUUGUUUUGGGGGAAAAAAAAAGAUCCUUGCAUUUUUAAUUUCAUAUAACCAGUGCAUUUUAAUCGGGUGCUUUUAUCACAGGAUGUAAACCUUAAGGUUUUCAAGCUUGUUCUUCGUAGUAAUGCAGAACAGCCUUUCUUAUUUGUAGCUACUGUUAGUCACAAUGGGGAAUAACUUCCUCACUUAAAGGUGGGCUUAAAAAUUACUUAAACUCUGUAGGAUUUCAACAAGAAUGCUGUGUUUUUUGUUGACUCUCAUUCUUGUUAAUGCCUUCUAGAAGAAAACGUAAUACUGGGGACCAUUUUUCCUGGGUGUAUGCGUAUGUGCUUUUUUAGAGUUGGCAGAAGUCUUAGCUGUCAUGGUUCUCUUUAAAUAACUGAUCUACAGUUCAGAAGACCUGGGGUGGUCUAAUAAAUCGACAAGGUGAUGGGAAGCCUUUUCUUGGCAGCUCAGGUUCAGCCAACGUGUGUACCUUGGAGAAAGACUCUUAGUCGUGUUCUUCAUUCUUACUUGCAAAGUGAGGAGACCGUGCCUACUUCAGACUUCAUACACGUCAGUAUUUUGGCUUUUCAGAAGUCCGACACGUGGCCUCAGGUGAAAGCCCACUCCUUGCACAUGUGUGAGCAGAUGGAUUUCAUGGAAUGUCGUGCCAUUCUGUCUGGUAGCUGAGGACAGCAAAUGACGAGGAUGGUUUGCAGAGAGGAGUACAGGCAGUAAUGGUCAAGAAAGCCAUUUUCCUUGUCAGGCCUUUGUCAUCUUCUAAGGUGAUUCCCUAGCAUGUGGCACAGGAGGAGGCAAACCACAAAGAGGUCAGUGCUGUUGGACAUGUGUGAAGUAGCCAUUAACACAGGCAGUAAAUAUUCAAAAAGAAACUCCUCAUUUGACAAUGCAGUCUUCUAGAUGACUUGUAGAGAUAAAAAUGCACCAUGUUUUUAAAAGAGCACUUUUAAUUUUUGUCAGAUGAGAAAGUACCUGUAAGUUUAAUAUGUGCUUUACAAAGAGAGCAGCGUGUUAGCACCAGCUACUAGGUUUGCAUUUUAUGAGUUGGCUGUGGUACGAUGGCUUCGUAUACAAAAUUCGGGCACCGCCAUUAACACAGGGAAAUUUUUAUGCUCCUGUAUCACGUGAAUAGGAGCUAUGUGCUUCAGUGAUCUGUGGUGCUGAGUGCGUUUCAUUGCUGUAAAUGAUGGGCAGUUGAGCAGUUUUGGAUUCCCUGCCUGCAGGAAGCAGGGUUCUCUCAGCUUCUCUCCCCUCUUUUCAUUGUAAUUCAGCUGCUACACUGAGCAAAGCUUUCUGGAAUCCCACUCCCCUGCCCUGCAAAAAAAAAGAAUCAUCUUAGAAUGUUUUGCAGCUGUAUUAAGAAGACCUGGCAGAUGCAUAUCAAGCUGAGUGGUAAAUGGCAUGUGUUCCUGCUUUCCUCACCUCUGUCUGUUAAAUCAGUCUGCUUAAUACUUCAAAACCUGCAGGUUUCUGAAGGCUUCUGAUGUUUGAAAUUGGAAGACACCUGGCAGCAAACCCUUUUCCCCAUUUUUUUUAUUUUUUUGGGGUUCUCCUAAUGACUUGCCCUACAAGCAAGAUAAAAAGCACUUGGUUUUGGACUUUUUAUUUAAAAACUGGAGUUAAUGCAGAAGUUCAUUCUCAGUGCUUUGUAGGGUAAUAAAACGUACAUUCAUGGAGCAGUUUGGUAUCCGACUUGCAGUGUUGCUCACUGAUGCCUCCCUCAACUCUCUCCUGCAAAUACACACACAGACAAAUACCCAGGGAGGAAUGGAGGAAUGCAGCAUCUUAAAUACACUGUUGCUUCUAGUUUUGUAAGCUGCCUUGGUGCUGAUCUCUUGAUGCUGGUAAGAAUGAGCAGUGGGCAGAGGAUGAUCAUUUUAAACUUCUUUCUGUGGAGAUGCUGGUUGAAAUAAACGCCUUAUUUGAAUAUUUUUGCAUUGGUAAUACUUUUUCUUAACAUGAAACUCGGAGAUUAACAAAUCAUUAUCUGCCUUAAUUUAGGUUUUAAGUUCCCCUAACUGAGGUUGGUUUCUGUAGCUCAGGGUUGGGAACCUAUAUAUCCUAAAAGGCUAUAUAUGACUCACAGCUGUUUCAUACAGCCUAUCAUAUUAUUUGUUCACAUUAAGAACAGAACUGACACGGUUGUUAACAUAUGGCCACAGCUUGCCAAAUAUGUUUAAAAGCCUUGACCCUUAGCUGGAAAAAGAUUUCCCUGAAGUUGCUGCAAAUUGUUGUCACAACCUGUUUUCGCUUGAAAAACCACCAAGGGUUGGUGAGCCUUGUGUGCUGUGUUUCCCCAUCAUGGGAUGGACGGAGAGAAAUCACUGUUCCAAAGCUUAGACUUUGAGGGAUGCAGCCCUUUCAGUCUGAGCUCUGAAAUCACUGAUUCAGCGUUCUUGAGCUUGCAGUUUUAUACAUCAUAUUUAUAUCACGCAGUUCUGUUUGCUUUGGGCUUUGAGUCUUGCAUGGAGGUCAUGGGGGGAGAAAAUAGAACAUUGUAGGAAAAGAGAAAACAAGGGUCUUGGAAAAAACACCAGAUUGUUACAGAUACGGGAAGUGAUGAACGUGCAUUUCUUUCCAUUUGUUUCAGCAUCUCUCCUGAUGGGAGACUGAGGUCUGUCUCAUCUUCUGUAGAAGAAAUGCUUCCCCUUCCCUGUCACCCAGGCUGCUGUGUUGUCAUGGCACCUGACUUUUAACAGGAAAUCAUUCUCCUUAGUCCAGUCCUCCAGAGCAGGUAGCUAACAGUUGAGGCUGGAAAAUUAUCUUAGGACCCUUCUGGAGGCAGCAAGCUCUUGAAGAGAUGAAGGUCAUCGGAGACGGGUUGUUUUCUCGGUAUGGAACCAGCCUUCCUGUCACAGGACAAGGUGGCACAGAGGAUGCAGCGAGGAGAUGAAUGUCAUGGUGGGUUUAUCUGUCACAAAUGAAUCAUAGAGAUUUUCCAUCCGUCUUACAGGUUUAGAUGUUUGUUCCCAUCAGUGUAACAUCAGAGUUUAAACACCUCACAUGGCUUUUAAAAUAAAUGUCUUAAUGUUACUCAUGUCCAUAUGGACAGUAAUUUGCCAUUAGAUUCAAACUUAGGACUUCUUCCUCUCUUAAUACCCUUCAAAUCAAAGAAAUCUUUUAUUCUUUAUAGAGGAGGAAAUAAGUGGUGAGAUGAUGUCACAUCAGGGAAAAGUCUGCAGAGAUGGAGCUCAGAAAUAACUCCAAAAACUGUGUGGAAAACCUUGUGGCUGUAGCGAGAAGUAGGAUUUUUAAGAACGCUGUGUUUGCAAAAUCCAGUAGGGAAAGCCAUGGAGCCUGGUUCUACUCCUCAUCUAUUGUGCAAGCUUGGAGAAGUUGCUUUGCAGUUUCCUUCAGUUCUCCUGUCACCAGUGAAUCUUUUAAUUGCUCUUGUUAAAGCACUUCAGCGUUAAAAACUUGAAUUGAUAUUAUUGCGGACUUAAAUAAGCUUAAUUAAAAUCUUUUUCUCCUCACUUGUGCCUUCCCAAAGCAAGAGUAACUGGGCUGUUUUUUACCCGAAUGGUUUGACUGACUGAUGUGCUGCAGCUGCUGAAGGUAGGAUUUACCUAGUCCAAAUAUCCAGUGAGCAGCUUCAGAUGAAGAAAAUGAUUGGAUAUGUGGCAUCUACAGUUUAGUUAGGGAUGUGGUCUGGCACGUGGCAAUUCCUUACUCAUUUUAUGUAGCAAUCAAGAGUUCCUGAAAGUCCUGUGCAGGCUCCUUUGUGGUAGUGUUGUCUAAUCUUAUCCUCAGCCAACUGGAGCUUGGUGCAUCAUGGACAGAUGCCUUACCUGUAGGCUAUUGAGGAGGGAGAUGCAGUUUAUAUCACCAGAAAGCAGUCUGUCAGGCUCAGUGGUGUACUUGGCAUCACCUGUUUACGUGGCAAAGCACAUCAGUGUUCCUGAACUCCUCAUCACACCCUCAGACAGGAGGAACUGCACCAACCUGCUGCAGCAGUGGACAGUCAAGGGGCACAGCAAGUUUUGACUUUGGUGCAGCCAAAAGCUCUUUGGCUGAUGUUCUGCUGCUGCUGACAAUACAAGAAGUGAAUUUGAGCAGGCAUUAAGCUCUGGCUACCCAUUAAUGCAUUAAUCCCGGGUGUGGAGCUGAGGAAGUAACUCAUAAACCAAAACUCUUGGGAAUUUUGGUUGGGAACUGUGCUGCUGCUUUGGCCUUGCUGCAGCUGCACCAUGGCAGGCACCUACAUUCUGUCACUGGAAACAGAGCGAGCACACUCCUGAAGGAUGGAUACUGAGCACUGCUGUGUUUCGGUUCAGGGGUAUCAAAAGCCUUGCAGUAUGAAUAGAAGUUACUUUUUUUUUUUUUUAAAUCAAGUAGAGAAUUCGUAGACAUACUGCAGAAGAGGUGAGGCGAGGAUUCCUUCUGUCUGAUGAGUCCUCUUGCUGUCUGGAUUUCUUUGCUGUUGUCUUCCCUCACAGAUAUUUGGACAGACAGAUCUUAUCUUCCUUCUGCGAUGUUAGAAACGCAUCUGUCUGUGGAAAUGCAACAAAUGUUCUUGACCGCUUUCUGCUUUUGAGAAGCCCUUCCUGCUGUUUGAAUCCAGAGCCAUCCUCGUCCUUCCUGAAAUACACACCUACAAGGAAUUUAUUUUAAUUAGAGAGCUACAGGAAGCAGAAUCCCCAUCCUGUGGGAGUCUUCUUGUAUGCGAUUUUUAUAUUUUGAAUUGGAGAGCUUGGACUACCCACCCCAGGACUGGCAGGCAGCCGGGCAGGAAGCUGGGCAGACUUGUUGCCUUUCCAAGAGCAUUUUGAUGGAAUCAGCGCAUUUCCAUGCGAUGCGUGUUUUGCUGUGUAAAGGUUGUUGCGUUGGGAUGUUAUUUUGUGCAGUUCUGUAGUUGUAGUCUUCAGCCAGUGACUUCUGGGAAAUUGUUGGCUCAUUCUUGUUGUCAGAGGCAGUUUUCCGCAGAACUGUGAGCUCCCUUGUCACAAGAAGAUCCACGUGGAGGGAUGUUCUUCACCCAGUGAGAAAGAUCUCUCGAUGCCUAUCAGUGUUCAGAUAGGUGAGCUAGCACACCUUAUGUCCCCAUCUACGUCUGACAAAGUUGUGGCUAAAUGUUUCGUGUUUUUGUGUAGCAGUUCAUGCUGAUGAAAUCCAGACCCUGCAGGACACGGUUCUUGCAUCUUUUGGUGGGGCCAGGUGCUGAGCUAGGAGUGGUCAGUGGGAGCCCAGCUCGAGGGAAGCCUGUUCAGUCUGGAGAGCAGUGUGGAAGUGCACUCCAUCUAUACAACUCCUGCUUUGUCAGGACGUUAUUGUACUCUCAUUUCACAGAAGUCCAGCAAAUAGAGCUUGGCAGCAUGGUGCACAUCUUUCAAGCAGUUUGUGUUGUCUCUUUAAACCAUAUAAAUAAACUGCACUCGACUCUUCAGGUCAUCACCUUCCUGCUCAAAGCAAGGCUGUGUGUGGAGCUAGAUGAAGCUGCUCAAUGCUUUUACUAAUUGAAAAUCCCCAAGAGCUGAGAGCUGAGAGCCUUUCUGGCCUCUUCUAUCAGAGUUUGCUCAUUUUCACACUAAAGAAUUUUUUCCUUACAUCUAAUCAGAAUUCACCUCGCUGCAGCUUGUGACUGUGGCUGCUUGCCAUUUGGCUGUGUGCUCCUGAGAAGUUGUGUGUUCUCAGUAACCCCCUCCAGGUAAGCAAGGGUGCUGAUAAAGGAUUUUGGCUGAUAACGAGCGUUCUGUGUGUUUGCAAGCAGUGUCCAGGAAUCUUCUUUUGAUGACUCUUCCUCUCUUUGAGCAUGGAACUGCUGAGAAGCAGCAGAAAUUGGAUUCUCUAGAUACAGCCACGUUACCAAAUGAUGGUGGCAUUUACUGGACUUCUUUAACAUCUCAUCUCAGAUUCCUCAAAACCACUGGCACAAGUGAACCAGGUGUCUAGCACUUCAGACCGAUCUAACUCAUCUUGAAUGUAUUCUGUUUAGUUAUUUUAAAUAAACAAAUUCCCCUCCUUAGAUUCCUUGCAUUUUGAAGUUGUGAGCUUACAUUGAAUCACCAGUAUGCAGUUCAGUAUAAAUAAUUUCAAGAAGUGUCAUAACUCAGUUGCUUAAGUGGUUGCACUUGCAUUUCCUCUGACAGCACCAGCUUUGAUUCUUGGGAGAAACUAACAUUGUUGUGGCUUUUGAGUAUGUCCUGAGGAUGGAUUUGUUGUUUAUACAGGCAUUACAAAUCGUAUCAUUUCAAAUGAACUGGUCUUAAGUGUAUUUCCUUAAUGGAUGGAUACAUCUGAAAAUGCAGAUAGCUUUAUGUGCUUUAUUGUUGUUGGCUGUUGGAGGUUCGGUAUUUGCACAGUCACUGCGUGAAAGCUGUGUGUGUAAAUCCCAUCAGAGGGGAACACGAAAAUAACCAAGAACACCAGUAAAAAGAACAAAGAAGGGAACUUUCCCAUCCUGUAAUGAAUUUGUACAGAUUUGGACCUUCUUUUGUACGUGUACAGUAACUUCACUGGAGCCCAUCCAGAGUCACAAUAGUUAAGUCAUUCCAUAGAAAUCAAAGGAGGUAUAAUCUUGUGAAACUUGCUUAAUAGGGAAAGCAUAGCCUUUGUAUCCAGAAGCUGAACUGGCUAAGCAAACAUCUAAUAUUGACUUGAUUCCUUAGUCUGAUUGCCCGCCUUUAGAUUUGGAGCAUAAAACUUAUCUCAAGCAAAAUGAAACAUACAUUUUAACUAUCUUUCUUUAAAAAAGCAUGUAUACCAGGUACUCCUCUCCCAGCACAAGGUAACUUUUUCAGCUCCCUCUAUGCUUACGGUUUUCUCCCAGCUUCUCUUCCAGUGCUUAAGACGCAUAGGGAACUGGAGGACUGAUAAUGUGGCUGUUAAUUAAAUAAAAGUGCGUUGAGAUUCAAGAGGUUACAGCCUACAGGAGUUAACUGCAAACUGUUUUUUUCCAUGCUCAAGAGGCGUGAGUCAGAUUUUGCAAAGUGAGUCAAAUCUAUCCUUAGGUUCAUUUUGUGACACUGUAGUGGAUGUAGGGUUUGAAGCAGUAUUAUAUGUAGAAAUGGCUUAUUACACUGGUUGAGCUUGUAGCAUUCUCUUGGUGUGGCAAGGGGACCAGAAUGGACAUCCAUAAUGGGGAGCAUGGAGGGAUCAGCAGUUCAGUCCCUGGAAACGGUGAGCAGUCCCUCUGCAGCCUGGAGGGUGUGGAAAGGUUUUUCUUUUCUUUGGUGCUCUUGUUGGGAUUUGCUCAUUCUUAAUGAUACUGAUGAACUGUGGUUGGGCUUUAGCAUGGCAGCAGCGUAUGAGGGUGCUCCCUGGGCUCUGAAAUGACUGUGAGGAAAAACCUACUGAACCCAUCCUUGGAGAUGCUUGGUGGGGACCGAGACAUGCCAACAAGAAGGGCACUAUCCUACUAACACCUUCUUUUAAAUAAAUCCGUUUAUUUUUAUUUUGCAUUUGUUCUCUCUAUCUUCGGCUGGGUGGGUAGUGUUCCUGGCAAUCCAAUAAAGCUGUCCACUUAGGUCAAAUGUGCUGGAGCUGCAGCCCUUUGACAGGAUGUGACUCCUGCAUGUUUGGCUGGCUGUGUCAUGCACAAACACUCCCUUUCCUCUGGAGGAAUUACAUGACAAUUGAACUUGGAGGCGCAGUCAACUUCCAAGUCUCUGUUUCUUCUCUGUUCCCAUGUUUCACCCUCCCUCUGAGAAGUCUCUCAUUUUGAUUGUGAAUCUUGACCAGGAAAUGAAUUUGAUGGCUCCAUUCUUACACGUCGGUCUUUGACUAGCCACAGUCAACAUCCUAAUAUUGUGCUCUGAAUCGUGAGUAAUGCCUCCUGUCUGGCUUACAUCUUGGAUGAAAUGGAAGACAGGCGUGAGUUUAGUUUUCCUAUUCUUGUGUGUAAUCAAUCUGGAAAGAAUGCUUUAGAUUUGCUUCGCUUCCGCAUUUUUUGGUGGGGACCCUCAACAAAUAAAAGAUGGAAUUCAGAUGGAGCAGUUCAAAGAACAUCGUUGCUGUUCCUUAUUUGUGGUACAAAGAUGAGCUGGCAGCACCAGAUACAUGGUUCCCUGAUACCCACAACCCCUCGUAGGACUCUGGCUGCUUUUAAUUCUGCCUGUAUCUCAAACAGCUCGGAGUUUUCACUUUGAAGAACGCUGUGUUUUCAGCUUUGUGCAGUUUCUAGGUUGUUCAGGUCUUGUUACCUUUUGUAGAGGUUUGUGUUUCAUAAGAAAGUGUAGGAAGAUUAGGAUUCAGUGCUUUUUUUUUUUCCCUUUAAUUUCUGCCAAAGUUUUAUGAUACGUACAAUCCUUGAAGAGGUGCUGCACAACUAACAUUUAGAAUAAGCUGCAAAUAUUACCUAAUUUGUGCAGAAUUAGGUGAUCAGUUGCUCUGCUUGUUUGUCAUGUGUCCUACUAGGACCUUGGGGGAUGUCCUCAACCCCAGCUCUGUGCGUCUCCAGCAAAGUGUUGCUGGCUGCAAGUGGGAGCACACAGUGUUGAGCAGACAUCAGUCGUGCCUGCAGCCCUGGUGUUCAGCAGCACAGCAUCUCUGUAUACAGCCAGCAUCUCUUCUUCACAACUGUUGCUCUGGUUUUAGUCCAUGAGGUUUUACUCUCUUUUUACUCCUUUCCUAGUUCUUCACUUGUAUGCCAUCUGUAUCAGUAUAUGACUCCAUUACCGUUGUGUGGUCUCCCUGAAGGUAUUUUGUAUAGAGGAAUGCUAUAGGAAUUCUAUAGAGUACAUAGGAAUGCUAUUCACGGUACGUGGUGAGGGAUGCCAGAGUACUCCAGGAAAGACAAGUUUAUAAAUCAACACUAAGUUUUGCUCAGGAUUUCUUAAACAGAGCCGCUUCCAGGACAGCAAGAUAAACAGUUAUGUUUUUUUUUAAUUAUUUCUGUCUUAUGUUUGAAUCUUGAGGUUGCUGCUGUGCAUGCUGGGGACAGAUGGAGCAGUUUAGAAGUGCAGGGCAAUACCUGAGGCAGUACCAAGUACAGAAACACACUUGGUGACCCAUCAGCCGUGCUAUCAGCUACAUGCAUCAUCUCUCAGCUAUUUACAGGAAGUUCGUGUUGGACUGCUGAGUUAACACCGAAUUCUGCAAUAAUUGCUUUGUUGUAACAUUUCAUUGCUUAUUAGAUGCCAGCCUAGUAGUUGGAUCUGUCAUUUUCAACUUGCGAAGCAGCAUUCUACUGAAAUACUUGGUAAUAUCACCCCGAUAUGUGCAUGAAAUUCACCCAGUUGAUUCAUGGUUUGCUGCUACCUAGUGUAAAAUACAGAUGAUAUUUCUGACCCCAGCCUGGUAAAGUGAAUUAUCAUUAUGGUUUCCCCAUCUGCACAUGUAAUGUAUGUGUUUUAGCAAGCGUAUGUCAAAAGGGUAUUGAGUCCUUCAGUACUUAAGAGGUCAUCUUAUUAAAAGCGAGCCUGUACCACAAGGCCUUCUUACUCCUUUUUUCCAUUUUUAGGUCAGAUGAUUCAGGUUUUCCCCAGUGCUUUUAACCUUGUGCCAUCUGAGCGGCUUGCUUGAGGGGCAGCAAUGCUUCGAGGCCAUUACUGACAAAAACCCCACCCUCAAUAGGGUGGCUCUAUUUCACUGUCUCGUUCUCUUCUGUAAUGUUUACUCUUAAUUUCUCACCCCUUUGUUACUGCAUGUUUUUCCCUAGCACUCAGCUAGUAUCCUAAUGAGUGCUCCUGUUUAGUUUCCUUUCACCUCUCACACUUUCCUCUCUCAGCACAGAAGUCCAUACUUGAGGUAGGGAAGAAAAACAAACCAGCACAGGCCUAUGGUUCAUGCCAUCCAUCAGCUCUUUAUGAAAAUGUAGACAUAAUUACUAGUGACAGAACAAUAUCCAGAGGAUUUUCACGCUGCUUAUUCUCACUUGAACAAAAAAAUGCCCUAGCUUGCUGGAUGUUACCUGAUCGUAUUUUGUUCCUUUAAUAGUAGCGUGUACACGUCUGUAACCUUCCUUUAUGAAAUAGGAGAGCGUUCCCAGAGCACUUGCAGAUCAUCCUGCCUUUCAAGUACCUAAAAUAGAUUUUAAAACACUGAUAGGAGUGUGAAAGCAUAUGGGAGCAUGCAGGUAGCUGGCUUGCUUGGAGGCAGAGCGAUCGGAGGAGGGGUGGCAGAGCUGUGUUUUAAAAAUAUUCAGCCUCGAUCCCGUGGUGCUUGUCCAGUAGAGAAAUUCUGCACUGAGGAGAUCUUGGCUGAAGCAGUUGCUGCAUUUGAAAAGCGUGAACUAGAUUCUGAUUUUAAAAUCUAUUUUGUUUUGAGUUGAAGGUAGUGGACUUGCAUGCAAUUUACUCCGGUGUAAAUGAAACUGAGUUCGGCCCUUUAUGUUCUGUGCUUCUUAGCCACGUGGUACGUUUCUAUAAAUCAUGCACUUGAAAGGUUUUCUUGCUUCCUGCUUUUACCAGUCAGAUCAUAUAAAAUGCAGAUGAACCGAGCUUCUGGUUUAUAAGCCUCAGCAGAACACCCCCUCCAAAUCCCCUUCUGUCACACCAGCCCCGCUUCCCCCAUUUGAAAAUGAGAUAGCAAGAGUGACUAACUUAGGCUAAUACAGCGGAGUUUUUUGGUCUCCUCCCUUUCUUAUUUUGACCUGUACUUUGCUUUCGUUAUAAAGUGAACGUAGAAAUUACCCGGUGGGAGUGGUGAAACUGCAGCAGAGAAACAAAAACUAUUUGGAUUCUACUGAAAGCUGUUCAUUCGCUUGCUCUUCUUUUUAUUAACGGCUCGGAGCGUGCAGUUUGUCUUGUUCUGACUACGUGUCCCUCAGCGAGAACGGAGGUGAUAAGUUGGUGAAUUAGUUUUGAAAUACAUAUUGGCCAUCAAUUUCCAAGUGAGGAGAGGUGAGCUUGACCUUCACGCGUGGCAGAAAAGUGGACAUGAGUAGAGCAGACGGAGAUUCCUGCUCCAGUCUUUCUCCCUGGCUUGCUAGGUCAUGUCUGGUGCAUAUUUGCGUGCCUCAGUUCUGCUGUCAGUAAAAAUAGGUUCUGAAAUGCUUUGAUAAAUUUCUCCAUUCCAUUUGAAUCAAAGCCACUUUGAAAAAAAAAAAAAAACUAGUUUGAGUUCUUCAAUGAAACUCCCAAAAUUUUCCUCCAACUUUAAUAGAACUACUGCUCCGGCCUUUUUUCCUAAACUGUAAAACACAGUGAAUGGGAAUAAAUAGAAGCUGACAUGUUUCUUCAUGUGCAGUUUUAUUGGUUGCUGCUUUCAGGAGUUCCCCCCUUUACCUCCCAUUGCACAUCGUGUCAUCUCCGUUCUUUAUGUUAAAAGUGAGGAGAGUUUGGCUGGUCCUCAGUGCGUGGAAUUGAGCCUGCAGCACGCUGAGCUCGGUUUGAUCAGAGCUGUGUGACCGCUGGAACGUACAGUGGCACGCAGACAGCUGUAUUUUCUUGUAAAAAAAGCAGCACUGCGUGCUGUACGCGUUGUAACAACAAUACCGCUGAAGCAAGAGGUCACGUUGAUCUACGCUGGAGUUCACCGGUGCUACGGUUUUUACUGAGGUGACUCAAAGCAGGAGGAGCAGAUGUCUGCGGCGUUCGCUGGUGGCUGCAGCCUUAGGAGAUGAGUUUUGGAAUCCCCAUCAAAGUCAGGAUUAGGCUCAGGAUCCGCCAGCAGCACCGAGCUCGCCAGGAGAGCGCAGAGGAAGAGGAAACCAUUCACAGCGACUCAUCGUGUGGUUGGGUGAUUCAGGGGUCUGCUGGUGGCGGUCACAGAGGCACGUGGCACCGUCUUUGUCUGCCGUGCAGGAUGCAAACGGUCUCUGAACAUUAAUUCUGUCCUUUUGAUUUUUGUCCGGUGAAUUAUUUCCUGAAAGGAGUUACUGUAUUUUCUGGAAUGAGCGUUGUGAAAUUCUUUUCUUUACAGUGGGCGAGUUUUCAGCUGGUGAUUUAUCAACCAAGUAUUUUACAGGAUCACAGUCAAAGGCUCUUCUAACAAAAAAAAAAAAAAAAAAAAAAAAAACCUGGUGCAAUAGGGAAAGUAAAAGUGUCUUGGUUUCCGAAUGAUGGAGGAAUAACCGAAAGAGCGAGUUCCUGGAAUAGUAGCUCCAUUGGCUCUCGUUGGUGAUUUCCUGUGCGUUUGCUGAAAGAAGCACUCGGUGAUGUGAGUAGGUGGUACUAAAGGGUUAUUACGAAACCUUUUUUCAACCAGACAUUUGAGUCAUGGAUCGGGAAGAAGGAGAGCAGCUUCCGAGCUUUCCCUUUGUUCGAGCAGAGCGCCUGAAGAGGCACAGGCAGGAUACUCUGUGUUGGUGUGGAGAAGGAUGGAGCGGGGAGCGGGUUCCGGCGUUGGGUGACGCGCCCUUCUUCGUGCCACCGCGUGCUGCCACGGGCAGCGAGGAAUUGGGCUGGAGCAGCUGGCGGCAGCAUGCAAGGUGCACGCGGAGCGCUUCCCUGCCCGUGGCUCGAUUUGAAAGCGUAAGUAACUGCUCGUGGCUUCUCCCAGACGUGAGAGACAAAAUGGAGCUGUGUCAGGACGAACGUCUGCGCCAGGGCGAGCUGGUUUGUUGGAGCAGUUUGGUUCUGUUCUGUGAGCAGCUGAGCUGCCACUGGCAGCAGGCAGUUGGCUUCUCCAUCAGGGGAAAGAAAAAAAAACAAAAAAAAACACAGGGGGUGUUUAAGGGAAUUGGUUUGGCUCCUAAACCGAAGGAAUUGUUGACCUACUGACUCAGUUAUGAAGAAUCAGGGAAACGGUCUUAUUGUGGUUUCUUUUGUUGGUGGCAGAUUCAGAAGACAUCUGUGAGCGUACGGGUAGGACUAGCACAGGAGAGGUGCUUCUGGUACCUGCUGCGUGCUGCAUGGAUUUUGUGCCAGGAAGGAGCUGAGGUGCUGACUGCUCAGCAACACUUAAGCUUGAUUUCUGAUGCUUUUCCUGAUAAUGCAGUGAGUGCCCCAAAUGAUGAGAGAAUUGCAUUGCAACACUCCAGUGAAGAGGUUUUUGUUUGCUUUCCUUAAAGCCACCUAAGAAGCUCCAUACAAGCUAGGGAUGUUGAAGCGAGAGCAUAGCCACUCCUUUCAUUUUUAGACUGAGAAAAGAGCUGCCUCCUGAGCAGAAAAAAGGCUUCACAAGCACUGCGAUUCCGAUCAUCCUAAUCCCUUAUUACCUGUAGGGGCGGUUGCUGGAAGCUACUACAGGGAAGGAGGCUUGCAGAUUUUCCAAAUUUUGGGACUGUGCGAUGAUGCAGCGUAUUUUAGACGCUACGGAGAAUGUUCAGAACAACACGGUGGAAAGAUGUUUAUUUAAAGCUGCUGGUUCCUCCUCAGCACCAAAACUUGGAGAUAAAGAGCAAGGUGCCAGCGGGUCCCUCUGCAAGGGAAUGAGUGUUCCACUGUUCAGUUUUCUCACAGUGGCCUGGAGAAAUCUGUAAGAUUCUGAAAGGGAAUGGAUGAGCUGCUUCUACCUACUGACAUUAAAGGCAAUUCAGAAACACAGUUACCCUGUCUGGAAGCGAUGCGGAGAGAUUAACACUAAACUGCCCAGAGGUGAACAAGGAGCAAAGCUGUAUCCUGAGUUGAGACAGAAGAUCUCUUUUCCCUACUAAGGAAUAUUAUCAAGCGCUGGAGAAAAAGCAAGCAUGGAUGUUGUGGUGGCAGAUGCAGCACUGUGGGAGAGCAGGUGCUGAUCUCCUGAGAGUGCCUUCUCUAUGCCAAAGAAAGAACAUGUUUUUGAUGGAAAACCUGCUUAUAAAUGGAAAGAUUCUGAGGACAGCCCUUUCUUGUUCCUAAUGGAUUGUUCCAGAAAAAAAAAAGACAAUUGGAUGUGGUAGAAGCUGUUCUUUUUCUAAGGCUGAAACUCUCAUCUCUGUUUCUCAUGACCAGCUGAGCAAGGGAGAUGGGAUUUGAUGUUAUCCGAGGUGUAAUUCCACAGUUCAUGUCUCUUGCUAGCGCCAGCUUAAUAAGUUUCUGCCUGCUCCCGUCCAUUCAUUUCCAGCUCAGCAGCAAUGCAGUGCCAUCUCUUUCCUCACCAGCAUGGCCCAAGGACAGCUGCAUCGGUACAGCUGGAGGUGACAUGAACUGCAGCAUCAGAGGCACGGCAAGCACCGGAGGGUGUCCCAAUGCUAAGUGGUCUUGCUGUUAGCAAAAAAACCUGCUCUGGUACAGUAUCCCAGUUGAAGGGGUUUCACUAGCUAUGGUAAUGUUUAUUGAACUGUUUGUUUGUUUGUUUGUUUUAAGAGAUUAAUAUCUUGGGUUUUUGUUGUUGUUGUUUUUUUUGCUUGAGAUAAACCGUCUCUCUGAGAAAUAAGUCAGCUUUGUGGACAGCCAGUGUAUGUCAAUAAAGUCUUGGCAAACACAAGAGGUAUUUAUUCAGCCUUGCAAAUUAGAAACAUUUCUCCUGCUUGUUUUAUGAACGGAACAAAAAAAGACAAAUUACAUAGCGGAUGAGCUCUCUUGAUGGUUGGAAUUAGCCUGGUGGUGAAAACGCUGCAGGAUUUAUGGUGCAGAAGAAUAAAAGAUGAAACAGCUUUUCACCAAUCACAGUGGUUUAAGUUCUCAUUGAAAAUUACUGGGGAAAAAACCCUUUAAAGACAUCUGUAGCUGACUUCACAGUCUCAAUUGGUGUCUUGGUAGGCAGUUCUUCCUCACUGCAGUAAGUAUUAAUUGUUUUUUCAGCUGGCAAAGAAUUCCUUGAUGGCUCCUCAGUCUUAAUGCCGUAGGAUAUCUGCGACAGCUCAUAAAUGAGAUACAUGGCCAAGUGUUGAGUAGGAAGUUCACACACUUGAUUCCCAUGCUAUAGCCAUUUUGUGAACAGAGGCUUUCUGCAAAGUUACCAAUCUGUCAUCUUCCCUUGGCUUCACAUGUUAUUAAAAAAAAAAAGGAAUUUGAAAAGUUAGAGUAAGUUGAACAGUUUGUCAGACAUAACUUACUUGAAGGCUAUUGUCUCCAAAUUAUGGGCUGACUCGGUCUUGCAGCCUGUGGUGGAUGGAUCAUAAAACUGUCAAAAGGAAAAGCUUUAACAAACUCCACUUACGCAGCUCCUGUGAUGGCAGGACAUGGAAAGGAAGCAGGACACUGAAAGACAGGGAGUUACCUGGUAGGCCUUGGACUGCAGCUAAAACACGUGUAAGUCAUUAGAAUUAUUCAACAGCAAAACAGAACCAGAGAAAACUCCAAACUUACAGUGGUUUAAUCUCUGACAUAGCUUCGCUCGUGUAAGUAGUCUCACUGAUGUCAGAUAAGGCCUUGUGAAUUCUUUAAUGUUUAAGAUCAAACUGCUGAUGCUUUGUUUCCUCUGAAAGGAUACAAAAUAGUGUUAAUUUAACUACAGAAACAUGAAAUAGGAAGCUUGUCCAUCUCUGGUCUAUGAAUGCUGAGUUUGCUCCCUAUAUUUCCCAAGUUCUUGCUUUCCUGCUGAGUAGAAUGAUCAGUGUGCAGAUGUUGUCUUCUCUGCUCCUCUUCUUCCUCUCCAGUUAAACAAAGGAAUUACUGCUAGCAAAUCUGGAGAGGACAGAGAAGUCCAAGAUCUGAAGAUUCUUUAAAAAUGUGAAGGGCCUAAUCGUCGAAGGACCUAAUUGGGAGGGAUCUUGGAGAAGUGUCUUAGUUGUCUGUCUGUAGUUCAUUUGUUCUUCCAAUUUAGAAGUACAGUUUACAGCCCUAAUGCAAGAGUGUUUCUCGCUGUCUGUGCUCUGGAAAUGCACAGAGUUCUUACAGGUUUUGAAAGAUGCUUUCUUCAAAAGGACACAUGCCUUCAGUGGAGGAGUCUGCCCUUUGGUUUGUCAUACUGAGACAUUGUGGUCUGCACCCGUUGUAGAGGUAGCAAUAAAACACAUGCUGAACCGCAACGACAAAUCCCUCCUACAUCGUGAACGUAACUGUGCAUGGACACAUGCUGCAGCAGUUCAGCCUUGCCCGUGUCCAGGGAAGAUAACAGUUGUGAAGCUUCAUUGUUUUCCUUGUCUCACAGGUUGAUGCCAAAUUUGUUGGACUUUCUCUUGAAGAUUCUCUGGGAGGGGAGUGCUUAAGCUGCACUGCUGACAGAUACUCCCUGGGAACUGUCCAUGCUCCUUUGAGAUUUCUCUCUUCUAUCUUCAGCCAUGUAAAAGCUCAGUUUCUAGGCUCAGCGAGUUAUUUAGCUUGUCACUGUGGUAAAUGAAGAGAGUUAGGCACCUCUGGAGGUAAUUAACGCGUGGAAAUAGAUGUAAUUAAUUACAUUUCUGACAUGAUUUCCUGCCGCCUGAAGAGAACAGUUUUAACAGCACUUGGCUGUCCUCAGGAGACCACAGAUGGGUUCAUGUCGGGUGAUGUUUGUAAUCAGCUGAAGUCAGCUUGCACAGAGCUGCCAGCAGCAGGCACAGAAUGUGCAGGUAUGACACUGCAGAAGGGAACAAGCACAGCCCUUGACUUCUUGAAUUAUACUGCAGCAGGGCAAAGUUUGAGGCUUUUUCGUGCCUUGAGGAAAUUGUUCAAUCCUGUCCACACUGUUAAAGCAUCAGCAUUUCUUGCACCCGCCAGAACAGUGUUAUUUUACAGCCACGCAGGGCACAGCGCUUGCCUUCUGUCAUCAGAACACACUGUGCUGUUGUGCUGCUGUUGCUUCGGGUGAUUUGUUCUUGCUGAAGCUCUGUGAUGUGCGUAUCGAGUGCUUCGCAGAAUGUCACCGUGAGUGUGGCUGUGCCUCGUAGUCUGUGCAAACACUCAGAAUUGUUUGACUUGAUUCCACAGAUGCGACUUGGGGUAUGUUUGUUCUGCCAGCCGAGAUGAGACGUUGAAGACAGGUUAUAAAAAAUACAUCUGUUUGAAAAGAUCAAAUGGUCUAGAACACACUUGAGUAAUAGAGUUCCAAGAAAAAUCCUUGUGUCAGACUUCCUAGAAAUAGUGGUGGAACCAGGUGGUAAGUGCCAGCACUGAGUCGUUAAUUAAUGCAGUCCUUACAUUAGGUUUGGGCGCGCACCUCCAGUGUAAAUAUCCGCAAGCAGUGGACUGGUCCAUCCGUGGGACCUUGUGAACUGAUCUGCAGCCUGUAGGGACUAACACAUAGACUGUGUCACACGCUGUUAUUUCUGCUGCUGCUGCUAAAAAUAACGUACUUCAGCGUUUAGCAGGAGGCAUUUCACAUGUCGUUUUGCUGUCACUAGAGGGAGUUUGCAGCAGUGCUUCUCUUACUGACUUCCUCGGUGAUCUCGGUGCUGUGGGGAGACCUCGGCAGACGCUGUGUGUGCAGGGACGACGGCGGUUCUGAAAGUAGGAUGCGGGUCCGUCCGUCGUUAAACCCUGGUAUGUGUUGCCCAAUCUGGAUUAACAACAUUCUUCAGGGUAAUAGUGCUGUAAGCAACUCGCUUUCUGUUGGUAGUGCUGUAAUAGAAAACAAAUGAGCAUUCAGUGCCUCAAAGCAGAAUCAGGAAGUAAGAAAAAAACAUUGAUUAUUUAAUAGGAAAAAACAAAGAUGGAAAAAACCACCAUGGAUAGAUACUCUUCUGAUUUAUUGUUACAGGAAUAUGAUCUUGGCUAGAAACAAGCUCCCUCAGGAAGCUGGUUUCAUAUGGUGGUUUAGAUUUAACUAUUUAUUGUCUAGCACCAUUUGAAAUCAGUGUUCUUGGAGGAAGAAUGCCUGCUGCGUUCAUCAGUGAAAUGGAUCCUCGGAAACCCUGGUGGAAUAAGAAGGCCAAGAUCUUUGUGUGCUUCUGUUGCUAGACUUAGCUCCGCCACCGAACAGAUUCCCUAAGUAGGCUGCGACCUCAGAGUGCAUGGCUCAGACGGCCCUUGGGAGAGCAGUGCAAUGUGUGAUUUCACAGACACAAAGUCUGUUGUAAUGGUGCUGGCCACCAGCAUGUUUAUAGUAUUUGUAGGUGGUCAACCAGAACUUGGAAACAGAGAAGGACUUACGAGACAUAAACAUUGCAGAAAAGCAUAAUGUGGAAUUGCAACACAGCAUUGAAGACACUGAUGUUAAAACAGCCACUGUUAAAUCACAUUUUUACAGUAUGGCAAGAAACAAGGAAGGGAACCUCAUUUGCUCUGCUUUCAGCCUUUCGUGGAUACCUUUUUGGGUUUUAGUUCUUCACUGCCUCUGUAAGUGCCUGUACAUACAGUGCUUGUAUCAUACGUAACACUGAAAGUUCUGGGUGCUGUCCACAUCCAGAUGGUGCAUGUUUGUGUUUUCAUGUGGUAUGCCUGGCAGAUUUGAACGUACUUAUUUAUUUUUUAGGUCUUUAAGUGUUCAGGUUGCAGGUCGGUAGUCUAAUACACUAGGUGGAGUCAAUGGAAAUAAGCAGCAUCAGUAUCUGUGAGAACUGGACCACAUGUGGUAGAGCACAUUGGCUGAGGCUGCUUGAACUCAGAGUAUUUGAAGUGUUUUAACAUUGACUGUACAAUUCACAAGAAGUUUGUAACUAAGGAUUUUGAAAGUUUUCAUCUUCUAAGUCUCUGUCUGAAGUGUUUUAAUAAUGCAGAGUUUUUCUAGGGAAUAAUGCCACAGGGGUAACUAAUUAACAUUUAUCAAGUAUUUGGGGAUCCUCCAAUGUAAAACACUGUCUAGUACUUAACUCUUCAUCCUUGCAGAUCUCAGUAACCCCUUUAGAGGAUGACUGAUUUCUUUUGGUGUUCAGAGUCAAUAAUAUUUUCUAGCACCAUUUGAAAUCGGUUAUAGUGAUUGGGGAAUUGCUCCUUGUGAAUUUUAUACAAGAGACUCCAAAGAGAAUCUUUAAUGCUGUUACCUAAGACUGAAAAAAAAAAAAAAAAAGGAAAGUUGGAUAUUUUGGUGAACGGAAUUGCUGAAUGUAGAAGUUCCACACAUUUAAGCUCCAGUGUUGUCAGGAUCCUUUGCAUAGCUGGACAUUAGGAGAAAAUACAGUCUCUAGUUCCAGAUAGAAUAUGUAAAGUUUGUAACAUGAAGUUUUCUUGUAGGUCAUUUAUGUAAAAAUUCAGAAUGCUUUGGAAAGUCAAACAGUACUGAAUGUGAAGAUAAAGGGAGAUUGUUUUUCCAAUGGGAAUUAUCAGUAUGGACUCAAGAUCAAGAAGAAAACAUAUUGAAAAACAUUGUUGGUUUAAUGAUCUAGCCAAGAGGUGUAAGGAAAUAAAAAGUCAGCAGCAGGAACCUUUCCAGUCUCCAGUUACUGCACUCUGGACAUUCUGAAAGACAGAUCUUGUGCAAGAUUUCACUGCUAACCUAAGACCUUUUUGCCUUCUCCUCUCUUACACUGCUAACAGCAUAAGCCACAAAACUGACUCAUCUUCCCAAGGAUGUUACAGUAUCUGAGUUUUCUCCAAGAAUUGUGCUCUUCAGGGAAGCAGAACUGGCCAGAGGUGCAGAGUCCGACUGUGGUUCAUAUCCUCAGUUGCAGCAGGAGCUCAUUAGCCAUGAAGAUAAUUUCUGAAAAGCAUUCUUCAACCAGAGUAUCAUACUCUCUGGGAGGCAGUAACACAGACAGCAGUACAUCCCUCUAGCAGGGGAUGUUUUCCUGGAUUAACUGCUUAAAGCAGGAGUACACUGCUUUUCCUGGUUCUUUUCUAUGGGAAAACUGCAAAGUAGCAGCUAUAGACUGCAAACAAGUGGAGCAGCUGUUGAGUAUUCAGAAGCAUUCCUAAGCUGGUGACUUGCUGGGGGCAGCACAUUCACCCUUCGCCUUCCCUUUGGUUUGUUUGUUUAAUUAAGAAGGCAUCAAGUCAUCACAAUCUAAAAGAGGCUUGGUGUGGAAGGUACACGGCCUCUUUCUGGUCUCUCGCUUCAGUCCUUUUGUGAAAUCUACCCUCAUGAUUUGUCUUGUUUAAACUCUCGGCAGUGGGUAGUGCUGUGUUUAGGUAGCCCUCAAGUUACCGUAAAAACAAUUAAAAUACUGAGAAUAUUGAAGAGCUAGUGGCAUAUAUUUUGCACUGUGAUGCCAAGAGCUGACACCUGCCUACAGAGAUAGUUUUGGGAGUUUAGCAGAUGUUCUUACAGAGGUUAUAAGAUCUGAAGAAAAAAGUCCUGCAGUCCUGAAAUGUGGGUUACAAGUAAUCAGUACGCUUUGAGUCUGUUUAGUGCAGAAGUAGCUCCCACACAGACCUUUGCUUAUAUUAUUUCUUGUUCAAAGUCCAUCACCAAGGAGUUCAAGGUAUUUGGAGUUUAGUGGCUUGUACUGUGCUGGCCAAGGUGAGAUCUGAAAAUGAAGAGGUUUCUACACUUAAAGGAAACUUGCUAUCACAAAAACUAAUCUUACGGUGAGAAUCAAUUACAAAUUAAUAAAAAGUGAUCACAGAAAAUAAAAAGGAGAUGAUUGAAGUUUAAUUCGUUCCAUUGAAAGGUAAGAGGUUUUUAAGCUGUUUUUCGGUUUGCACCAUAUAGUGAGGAACAAGGAAGCUGCCCAAUACUUGGAUCCUCUGAAAGGCUUUUCUGAUGCGAGUAAUGCUGCAAGUGUGCCCAUGUGCUUACAAGACUGCGUCCUAUUGCUUGUUAGAUCUUUCCUGCAGCUGCAAGGAAAGAAAGAAGAAAAAUUGCUACGUGAAAACAAAAUUCACUCGGAGGUAGAGAUAGGGGUAAGAGAGGAGAAACAUAUAAUGGAUUUCUUUUUUCAAUUUUUGAUCCUGUUUACUCUCAGCACUUGAUUGUUCUGUAAGCGAAGCUAAUAGAAGACAGUCUUCCUUGUCAUGCGGUCGGAUGAGCCAGGUGUAAAUGUAAAGCAGUGCUUAUGAAAACUGCAGCAAUCUUAAAAUGUUCGUCAGGUCCCACAGUGUAUUACAUACUGCUUGCUUGCAAGUCUGCUCCGUCCUACUCUUGGGUGCCCUGCAGCAGUUGUAAAGUGCAAGGUCCUUAAAGUUUCUCUUUUGGAAUGAUGUUAAAAUGGAGUAACAACUUGUACUAUGCCAAGAAAUAGUGCUGGGAAGCAACCUCUACUGUUGCACCAAAUUUUGUUUGUGGACUUCUGUGAUCCUCCAUCCUAACGUUCAGACAGCUGAAUUUUGCAUAGAGCUCGGUAAACUCCCUGGGAAUUUAGGGAGGAAAUAACUUCUUCACAUUGUGUAAGAAUUUGGGAUGGUGGUGGGCAAGAGUUUUGCGUCCAUGGCAGAUGAAUUCAUGGUCAGAUCUGUAAUUUUCAGCAGCCUAAUCCUUGCAUUAAUUGAUGAAGCAUGCAGGCAUAAACUGCUUAUCCAAGGGGAGAAUAGAAAAUAAGACAAAAUUGUAUAUUCUGAUAAAUUGUUCCCAAGUCUUUCAAAGCAGUUUGAGACUACAUAGCUAAAAAUAACGUGUGUGAGGCAGCUGUCAUGUCCUUAGCACACGUUUCCAGUGUAGUAAUGGGCUUCAGGAAUACAAGCAGAAGAAAUUCAGGUAGCAUGGGUUUUACUUCAGGCUGAGUCCAGCUGGGAUGUUCACUAAGUAUGGAACAGCAGAGGUUUGUGUUGGCAGAGUUUUCUUGUGCUGUAAAACACAGUAUUAAAGCUCAGCAAAUAGAAUAUGCCAGGAGAGCAAAUUCUCGUUUUGGUAACGCUAGCAAAAAUAGAGUUACAAUUUCUAGAUAUCUUCUCUGGUAAAUUGUGUCCAAAAAGGAUAAUGAAGCAACUUUUGGCUGCUGAUGUGCUUGCCUACCUGUCCUGUUACGUGAGUUCAUCUAGCAGAUGGCUUCUGCUCUCCAGUGCUACCCACCAGAUGUGAAGACGCAUCUCCCCUUCAGAAGGUUCAGAGAUUUGGGGUUCCGGGCAUAACGUCUGGACCAGUUAUCCACUCCUGUCUCAACUGUUAAGCAGGCAUGAGGACAUAACUAGAUACCACCAGUAAAUGCAGUGGUUUGCUGAGAAGUUAUUCCCCUUCAGGUCUUUCAAAUAGGAGACCUCAGAGGUCUUCCUCAUGGCCUUCUUUUCCUUUCCUUCAGCGGUAGAGUCUUGUGGUUGCUUGCUCUGCUAUUUAGAGUGCUGUGUUUUGGGGCCCUCAUUUGCAUUUUCUGUCUGUGCCGCCAUCCCAUAAUCAUGCUCCUCUUGUCUCCAGGUUUCCUUUCUUGAAAACCCACGGUGGCAGCAGAGGAGUUGGCUUCGGUCCUGGGAGAUCACAGAGUUAUAGGGGUUUGAAGGAGGUCAUCUAGUCCAACCCCUCUGCUAAAGCAGGUUCCCUAGAAUAGGUUGCACAGGAAAGCAUCCAGGCAAGUUUUGAGUAUUUCCAGAGAAAGAGACUCCACAACCUCUCUGGGCAGCCUGUUCCAGUGCUUUGUUAUCCUUGAAGUAAAGAUUUCCUCAUGUUUGUAUGGAACUCUUUGUUUCAGUUUGUACCUUUUGCCCCUUAUGCAGUCAUUGGGCAUCACCAAAAAGCCUGGCUGUAUCCUUUUGACAUCUGCCCUUUAGAUAUUUGGAAGUGUUGAUAAGAUCCCCUCAGUCUUCUCCAGGCUGAGCUUGGAGGUCUCUCAGCCUUUCCUCAUAAGAGAGAUGCUCCUCCAGGGCCCUUAUCAUCUUUGUAGCCCUCUGCUGCACUCUCUUCUCUGUCUUUCUUGAACUGUGGAGUCCAGACCUGGAUAAAGUACUGUAGAGGUGGCCUCGCCAGGGCAGAGUAGAGGGGGAGGAGAACAUCUCUUGCCCUGCUGGCUGUGGUCUUUUGAAUGCAACCCAGAAUACCUUUGGCUUUCUUGGCCACAGGGACACACUGUUGGCUCAUGGGCAACCCAUUGUACACCAGGACACCCAGGUUCUUCUCUGCAGAGCUCCUCUCCAGUAGGUCAGCCUCUGACCUGUACUGAUGCAGGCGGUUAUUCCACCCCAGGUGCAAGACUCUACACUUGCUCUUGCUGAACCCGAUCAGGUUCCACUUUGCCCAAUUCUCAGCCUGUACAGGUCUUACUAAAUGCCAGUACAGCCUUCUGGUGUGUCAGCAGCUCCUCCCAGCUUUGUAUCAUCAGCAAACUUGGUGAGAGUGCACACUUUCCUUUCAUCCAGGUCGUUGAUGAAGAUUUGAACAAGACCAGAUCCUUGCACUUGAGAUUGGAGGAAGUGCAGCUUGAAUGUUAAUAGACUCUUUGACCGCUUUACCUUCCAGUGCUCUAAUCUGCAGGAUAUCUCCCAGUAGGUCCUAGAAGGUUUCAAAGUUGGCUCUCCUGAAGUCCAGUGUUGCAGUCCUACUUCUUACCUCCUGGGCUGUGUGUGCCUGACAGUCUUGUUUUUACAGCAAAUAUCGGUGAUUGAAGUCCCCCAUGAGUGCUGAUGUCUGUGAUCGUGAGGCUAUCUCCAGCUGUUUGUAGAAGGCCUCAUCACCUUCCUCCUCUUGAUCGGGUGGCCUGUAGUACGCAUCCACAACAGUGUCACUCAUAUUGGCCUGCCCCUUAAUUCUCACUCACAAACUCUACAUUUGUUCAUCAUUUACCAUUAUCAUUUAUGGAGCUUGAUACAUUCUUGUUGCUCUCUCACAUAAAGAGCAACUCCACCAUCUUGUCUCACUGGCCUGUCUUUUCUAAAAUGGACAUAGCCAUCUUUGACAGCAUUCCAGUCCCACCGCGUCUCUGUGAACACAGUGAAAUCGUGACCCUGAAGCGACACACUGAUCUCUAGUUCUUCCUAUUUAUUCUCUAUGCUGCAUGUGUUGGUAUUCAGGCACUUAGGAGAAGAAAAGGGAGCAGAAGAUGCACGUUUCCCCAGGAGGACGCGAGAAGAAUCUCCAUAGCUGUACACACCCUUGAGGUGACUGAGAGGCAGCUAAGGAGCAUUUAUCCCUGUUCUGGUUGGCCUGGCUCAUUCCCCAGGUGGUUACAGUGGUGUGAGCGUUGUCAUUUUGUACCCUGCCAAGUCAGUCAUGUAAAGCCUGCAUCACUAAGUUAACCAGCCUGUUGCCAAAGAUUCACCUGUGUCUUCCACCCAUGAUUCCAUUCCUCCCUAACAGGUUAUAAUCCUCAUAGAAUAUCUCACUGUCAUAAAAACCAAACUUCUUGUGCUGGCACCAGCCACAUAGCCAGGAACUGAUGUGCACUAUACGUCUAUUUAUGUCUACCCUCUUUCCUCCAGCUGGCAAAAUUGAGGAAAAGGUAACUUGGGCACUGGUGUUUUUCACUUGUGCUCCCAGGUCCAUAAAGCCAGUUUCUCUUCGUGUGGUUGGAGAGUUUUGUAAUGAUCUGUUGGUAUAAAAAAGAGAGGUGAGCUUUGGAUUUCAUGAUUCACUGUCAUAAAAAGGAGGGGUAAGCCUUGGAAUUAAAAGAGUUUGGGUUGAAGUUCAGCAUUCGGUGAUAGCAGUGUUCAUCUGAUCGCUGCAGAGGACAGAUGUGCUCAGGCCCUAUUUUCCAAAGCAAUUAAUGUUCAGGUCCUACAUGUCUCACAGUCAAGGUCCCAGUCCAUGUGGCUUGACAUCCGAAGCAGAUGGGUUGCUGUAAAUGCCAUUAGCCUCUGAAGGACCUCAGAAUUUUCUCAGGUAGGUAUUACCAUUAUUUAAUCUUGCCUAUCCUUACUGUGGAACAAACGAGGAGAAUGAGUGGUCUCCAAUAUAAUUUGCCAUUACCAGAAAUAACCUCGCACUGGUAGGAUUGCGUACCUUUAAAUUUACCUGAAAAUUCACAGAAAUAAUGACAGAUACCUGGGCUAUCAAGUAUACUGUCGUGUAACAACUCUCCACGCACUGCAGGAGAACUGAAGUCAUGGCUAAAGCAUUUAUCUGGGAAAUGGAAAGCACCUUGUUUCAGUGCAAGGAGAUUUGCAGAUUUCAGUGUGCAAGUCAGAACUUCUGAGUGAAAUACUGAUUUAAGAAACAAAACCAGCUCUUUUUACUUGAGAUUAGCCUGGACAUUUUAAGACAGUCAUGAAUAAUUGAUACAAGAGCCAUCCCACGGAUGAUCAGCAGUACCACAGCGUGGCCACAUUUCUCACUGUAUUGAGAUGUUUUCUGGCAGCCAUGGAAUUUUUAUGAUGUUUUUGUUCCUAAUGGAGCUGUUGCUUUGCUUUUAAUUUCCCAAAUGUAAACACAUCUGAGGAAGCAGUUCUCUGAAAAUGUUUGAGUAAAGCAAGUUAAAAAGU